CAGCAAUGGAAUCUGAUGUUUGACAUAAAAAAUUAAAAAACGUUUUAUUUUGGCAUUUUAUGCCUUUAAUGGAUAGGAUGGUAGAGAGCUGACAGGAAAGCAUCCCGACCUUGAGACGGGAAUUGAACUCAGGUCACAGAGGGCACAGUUGCGCUAUAUGUCGGCGCACUAACCACGAGGCUAUCAGUGCACGAAAAAAAAUUCUGCCAUAAUUUUGAUCAUUAAGGUAGAGUUUUGGACUAAGAUUCAUGCAAUGAUAUGCAUGUACCCAGCAAACAUAGAACAUUCCCCUAACGUAUAUGGUUCCUUUUUUAGGGUGGAAUCAGAUAACAACAUUCCAGAAACUUUCUUUUAAGGUUUUACUUUUUUUGCAAAAUAACGUUCUCAGAAUGCUGCCGGGUGAUUAUUUUUAAAUAACCUAAAAAUAACUUAGAACAUACCCAAUUGGUUAUAAGUGACCCUGGAUCACAAAACCAGUCAUUAGUCGCUGGGGUAUAUUUGUAGCAAUAGCCAACAAUAUAUUGUAUAGGUCAGAUUUAUGGUUUUUUCCUUUUGUGCCAAAAAUCAUUAGGAUAUUAAGCAAACAUCAUUUUCCUGAAGAUAUUUUGUAAAUUUCCUACCGUAAAUAUAUCAAAACUUAGUUUUUGAUUAGUAAUAUGCAUUGCUAAAAAGUUCAUUUGAACAACUUUAAAGGAGAUUUUCUCAAUAUUUAAAUUUUUUUUGCACCCUCAGAUUCCAGAUUUUCAAAUAGUAUCAGCCAAAUAUAUACAUCAAUGAAAAGCUUAUUUAGUCAGCUUUCAGAUGAUGCAUAAAUCUCAAUUAAAAAACUGACCCUUAUGACCGGGUUUGUGGUCCAGGGUCACACAGAACUAAUCUGCAGAUAAAGUUGCAGAUGUUUUUAUGUAAUGGCCUGUACAGCUCUGAACGUAUAGUUUAAUACAGAAUUUAUUUAUUUUUUAAUUAGAUCAAAACGCGUUAUAAUGAUCAGAUAAAUAAAACUUUACGGCUUUAAUAUUAAGCCACGGUUAAGAGCAGCUUGAAAAGCACAGAAAUCAUAUACUGCGCGCCCCUGAUCUGAUCUGCACGAGCUUCUCCAGCACGCGCUUUCUCCAGUUCUCCACAGAAAGCCGCGCACUCGCGCAAUUUAAAAAUUAACGGUCAUUUCGUUUUACUGGCUGACCAACUAACAUUCGUUUAUCGAUCUCUUUAUUAAAUAAUUGCUUAUAAUUAAUAUAGAUCUGAGAGCAAAUAUGAUUUCGGAGAGAUUCGCGCCCAUGUUGAAGAGAACAUGAUGCUAAUCGAGAAGUUUUUGUUUACCGACCGAAACUAUUAGAGAGUGAUUCCGGCUGCCAUGGAAACGAUGACAUGUUCCUGAGUGACAUUCCCGGAGAUUCCAUUCAGCACCUUUGGGACGAGGUGAGGUUUGACGGCCAGGAAGACCAACCGAGAGCGAUCGACAACCUCGUCAUUCAAAUUGGCAUCUUUGGAUGACAGGAAUAUCCAUGUUUCUCCUUCUUUCUCUCCGCCCUCCUCUUUCACCACCCGCUCUAUCGCUCGCCCCACCAGCCCACUGCCGCCCGUCACCAACACACGCAUCGGCCCAACUGACCCGUCCAUCUGACAGACAGAGAGAGAUGGGGUUUGAUGAGCACGUCAGGGGUCAACAUACAUCUCACAAUGAACUACAUACAAGUGAAACUGGUAACAACCAGUUUUAACCACGGACACGUCCUGUAAACAGUUCACCUAUGAGGUUCCAACUUGUGCGUUACGACCACAAAACACAAGAAAUAUGCAGACAAACACAUACUGGAUUGAUACACUUUCAUCUUCAUCAAUAAAAGCAUGAGAAAAUUCAGACAUCAAUCAAAGCAUGAGAAAAGUCAGACAAGGCCAUCAUGCAUGAACAAAAUUACAGAGCAGACUUACAGUAGCACUCAAUGAAUGAACUUUAUGAACUAUUUUUGAGCUCAAUUUAAGAUUAAAAGAUCAUUUUCAUUGGUUCUAAACAGUUUCUGAAUCGAGAAAAUGGUCACAUCAGAUCGUGUAUUAGUUCGGUUAAAAUAUUUAAGAAACUGACAA